UACGUAGGGGGCAAGCGUUGUCCGGAAUCAUUGGGCGUAAAGAGCGUGUAGGCGGCCUGGUAAGUCCGCUGUGAAAGUCCAGGCUCAACCCUGGGAUGCCGGUGGAUACUGUCGGGCUCGAGUCCGGAAGAGGCGAGUGGAAUUCCUGGUGUAGCGGUGAAAUGCGCAGAUAUCAGGAGAAACACCAUGGCGAAGGCAGCUCGCUGGGACGUGACUGACGCUGAGACGCGAAAGCGUGGGGAGCAAACAGG
rnacentral:rRNA from 1 species